rnacentral:rRNA from 1 species
CUUUCUUGGAGAGUUUGAUCCUGGCUCAGGACGAACGCUGGCGGCGUGCCUAAUACAUGCAAGUCGAGCGGACUUGAUGAGAAGCUUGCUUCUCUGAU